GGGGAGCAUCCACAUGGGGAGAUGUUGCCUGAUACAAUCUUCCUACAUUAAACUACUGUUGUUUCCUGCUUGUAGCACUUGAGAUGAUCCUACAAGUUUCAAAUAGACAGUAACAAGU